UACGUAGGGGGCUAGCGUUGUCCGGAAUCAUUGGGCGUAAAGCGCGCGUAGGCGGCCAGAUAAGUCCGGUGUGAAAGUCAAAGGCUCAACCUUUGAAUGCCGCUGGAAACUGUCUGGCUUGAGUCCGGAAGGGGCGAGUGGAAUUCCUGGUGUAGCGGUGAAAUGCGCAGAUAUCAGGAGGAACACCAGCGGCGAAGGCGGCGCUCUGGGCCGGAACUGACGCUGAGGAGCGAAAGCGUGGGUAGCAAACAGG
rnacentral:rRNA from 1 species